rnacentral:lncRNA from 1 species
CAUUCUUUGUUUCUGAACUCUGGUCUUAAUGUACUCACAUUUGUGGUGUUGUUUUGCAAUGUUUCUAUCAGAGUUCAAAUUAAUAGGGAGUUGGUUCAUUAAUUUUUCUUGAAUUUAUCCAGCAAAUAAUUACCUAGUUCCUAGUGCCUUGCCAGGCACUGAGAUAUAGCAUGAACAAAAUAGACUUUUGUCUCCUCUGUGGAGCUUCUAUUCUAGUGGGAAAAGCAUAUAUCUACUAAAGGCAUACAACUUUAAAAAAUUAAGAAUGGCUAAAAAUAUGAAGACAAAUGUUUGAAAUUACAAAGUAGACCAGGAACCACAGAAAUGAGGCUGAAGACUGGCUCCAAGAAUGGCACAGACAGGUAUGUAUUCUACACAAUGAGAAGAUGCUUCAUUGAUGAGAACAGAUGGAUGGGUAGAUUGGUUAAAAAUAUCACUGAGCAGGUAAGUAAAAGAGAUAUUUUGGUUUGGAGAAUUUGUGCAUAUCCCUCCAUCUGUGCCUAGUUUCACACCACAUUUAACAGGAAAGCAGCACCAUAACCCAGAGAGGUACAUAAGCUUGGAAGUCAAUUAGACAUGGAUUUGAAUCCCAACUCUGCCACUUAUUAACCUUGGGAGAAAUGAUG